rnacentral:snRNA from 1 species
ACGUUCACUUAAGCAGCACAUAUACUGAAAUUGGAAUGGCACAGAGAGGAUUAAUAUGGCCGUGCACAAGGAUGGCAUGCAAAUUCCUGAAGCGUUACAUAUUUUG